ACGGGAGGCAGCAGUGGGGAAUAUUGCACAAUGGGGGAAACCCUGAUGCAGCGACGCCGCGUGGGUGAAGAAGUUAUUCGUAAUGUAAAGCUCUAUCAGCAGGGAAGAAAAUGACGGUACCUGACUAAGAAGCCCCGGCUAACUACGUGCCAGCAGCCGCGGUAAUACGUAGGGGGCAAGCGUUGUCCGGAAUGACUGGGCGUAAAGGGCGUGUAGGCGGUCGAUUAAGUCCGGAGUGAAAGUCCUGCUUUCAAGGUGGGAAUUGCUUUGGAGACUGGUUGACUUGAGUGCGGAAGAGGUAAGUGGAAUUCCCAGUGUAGCGGUGAAAUGCGUAGAGAUUGGGAGGAACACCAGUGGCGAAGGCGACUUACUGGGCCGUAACUGACGCUGAGGCGCGAAAGUGUGGGGAGCAAACAGGAUUAGAUACCCUGGUA
rnacentral:rRNA from 1 species